GGAUCUCUCGAAGAGCAUGGUGUUUUUGCACGUCCUAGUUCACCGUGAAAAGUGCUGGAUUUGUAAAGCUGCCUUCCUCUUUCUCUCUCUCUCUCUCUCUGUCUUUCUCUCAUAUGAAGAACAGAGCCACUAGCUUGUGCUUAUCAUCACAAUUACAAAUUUUAAAAGAUGGAAGAGCAGAUAGCAACCUGUUACAAAUUUUCUCUUCGAAUCAAAUGUUUAUAUAUUCAUUUGAGGAAACUUGAACCAACGUCUAUGGAUUCUCCAGUAAGAAGUAUAAUGUGAAAAUUAUGUAAGGGAGAGUCUGUAAUAAAGAAUUUAAAGAUGUCAAUAUUCAUUAUGCUUAGCAUAAUUGCAAUAAUAAAUUGUACAUCAAAAUGAUAUUUUUUAUAAAACUGAUUAAUAUGCGGUAACAAUGUAAUCACGUCUGUGAUCCAUAUAGAUACUGUAGUGGAAGAGACUACUGUAUGUAGUAGUAGCAACAGUGAAGUAUCACCAGAACUAAAAAGUUAUAUUAGCGAUAAAGAAAAAGAAAAAUGAGGUUAUUAUGUAUAAAUAUAUUGCAGAUAACGCUGAAGUUCCUCUUUGAUUAUCAAGUUACAGAACCUGGAAUCCACUAUUUACAAGUUUUUACACGGAGUGACAUAUCAAAGCUAUUUGAAAAUGCGCUAUCAAAUGAGGUUUACCUGUUAGUACUUUAAGAGGAUAUUAAACAUAUAGGAAAAGGAAAUGAAGGUAAAA